CACUGAUGCUGCAAGCAUAUCGGUGAAAUCGGAUAUCGCGGGCUAAACGGAAAGGAAGACAAAACAGGCUUGGCGCUUAACGUGUUAAAA